rnacentral:rRNA from 1 species
AUACGAAAGGUGCAAGCGUUGUUCGGAUUUACUGGGCGUAAAGAGAGUGUAGGUUGUUUAUUAAGUCGGAUGUGAAAUCCCGGGGCUCAACCUCGGAACUGCAUUCGAUACUGGUAGACUAGAGUUCGUGAGGGGUAAGCGGAAUUCCGUGUGUAGCAGUGAAAUGCGUAGAUAUACGGAGGAACACCUGAGGCGAAGGCGGCUUACUGGACCGAUACUGACACUGAGACUCGAAAGCGUGGGUAGCAAACAGGAUUAGAAACCCUAGUAGUCC